CCCGUUUCCAGGGGACAGUACCCGGAUUCACAAAUCUGUCCCCGGACAAAAUCCGUUCCUGGAAUGUCUCCAGAUUUCAUUUAAUGUCCCCGGAGUUAUAUUUUAAGUGUUGUAGAUUUAUUAGUAGGGAAUGAAUGUUGUGUGAUUGGUUCAAUGGCACAAGUCACAUCAUAUGGGGGCUUCCGGUGAGGCAAAAUGGCAGACGCCAUGGCAGCGAGCAGCUCCUGAAGCCAGCCAGAGCCAACUACACUACCAGGCUGGCUCUAGGCUGCUGAGACUGCUGCUGCCACUGCCACUGCCAAAGGAGAACCAGGGACGCCCAGCGUGUCAACUGGGGGAACCGCUGACUCCCCCCCCCCCCACGGCACAAAUCAAGCUGGGAGCAAAAGUGCCUGGCCGACUGCCAAGCGGCGCUCAGGGACCAGGAAAACCCCUGAGCUGAUGCAGGGAGAAGGAGGAGAGAAGGAGGAGAAGGAAGAGAGAGAAAGAGGAAGGAGAAAAAAGAGGGGAGCCCUGACCUUGCGGUGCUGCUGCCGUCGCUGAGGAGAAGUGGUAGGAGAGCACCAGGAGGGCAAGGAUUGAUCCCAGGCCCGACCUGAGCCUCCAUGGCGGCUAGCACUCCAGGCUGGGGCCCAGAAGAAGGCCACGCGACAAAGGAGACCAUAGAAGAGAAGAUAUUACUUCUUUUUAAAAAAAUAAUAAUAAUAACAACUUUUUUAAAAAUAACUUUUUUUCUCCUCUUUUCAAAAAAAGUAGAAGUGUCCCCAAAUUCGUUUUAAAAAAUCUGGUAACCUUAAUCUAGUCCAAACCCCUAUGGUUAAGGAAUAUGCAGCUGUCCCAUCCAGGGAUCAAACCUUCAAUCUUGGCGUUAUCAGCACCAACUGAGCUAUCCAGGCACAAGAGGAGGAAGAAGACAGCCAGUGCCACUCCAUAGACUGGUUGCAAGUAGAAGACAGGCAGGUGGGGGGCUGACUGAGGGUAUACUGAGGUUGGUGGGGCAACCCUCCUUCCUUCCUUCCUUCCUUCCUUCCUUCCUCCCUCCCUCCCUCCCUCCCUCCCUCCCUCCCUCCCUCCCUCCCGUGCUUUGCUUUGCAUUUACAUCAUCUGAAGAAGACCUUGUGGACUCAAGAGCUUGCUCGCUGUUUGGUAAGGUUUGGAUUGGCAUUCACAAAAUUUGGGGAUUUUUCAAAAAUAAAAUAAAAUGGCAGUUUAACCCUUAGCCAUGCGUGCUAAUAUACCCGAUCUCUUCUGGCUUAUUCAUGGGUUUCUCUCUGAUUAGCAUUUAUUAAUUUGGCAUUGGAGGAUUGGCAAAUCGCACCCAGGUAAUGACAUCAUCACCCUUCGGCAACAUAAGUCAUCCCUUUGUCCAAGUCUGUCUAGGCAGAGAAAGAUACUUUAAAGGCUGUAAUCUUAUACCCGCUUACCCAUGAGUAAGCUGCAUUGCACUCAAUGGGAUUUACUGCUUAGUAGACAAACAUAGGCUUGUGCUAUAAAGCAGGUUUUGUCUUUAUUACGAUAUGCUGUUCCGAACAGCCUGCAAAAUCCCCAUCUAAGCUAUGAUUUAACGCCAUAUUUAUUUGCUAAUUAACAUGUCCUCUGGUGUGUGUGUGUGUGUGUGUUUCUCUCUCUCUCUCUCUCUCUCUCUCUCAAAGGGUUGAAAGCUAGCAUUCUGUAUAAGAGAGCGUGUCAAGUCAUACCACAUGCAGUGACAAAUGUGCAUUAUACAAAGUGUGUCAUGGACAAAAUUAGUUUACAGUCUUAGCUGGCAGCAUUUCUCAUCCCUGUGUUCUGAAUCACUUUCUCCUUCAUCAAGCCACAAAUUAAAACUGUCCCAGUGUGUGCAUAUAUUACAUUUCUCCUACGGUUGGGAUUAGUGACUGAGACACGGAAUUAGCAACGUGCUGUACUCAUUAUGAUAUGGGCUGUAUUCUAUUAAAUUUCUAUUUCUUUGAAACAAGCAGAGCCAUGAGUUGGUGGUUGUCAUGUUUCAGUUGCCUGCAGCCAGCAAGGCUAUUCCAUGCAAAAAGCCAAUUAGCGCCCCUCCUUCCCUUGCAGCAAAACAAACUCUACAGUCAACAAAUUAAUAUAUUUGAUUCUCAGAUGCAACAGACCCAUGCUCAGAACUUCUGCAUAUUACUGUGUUUUGCACCAAACUUUCAGAAGCGUGUUCUGAACAAAUAUUUAAGUACACCUUAUUUGCCAUCACAGGCGCAGCAUGAUCCCUGCAGCAUAGUAAGUAGGGUUGCCAUGUGUCCAGAUUUUCCCAGACAUAGGCAGAAUACUGCAGUUAGCAGCAGUGUCCGGGUGGAAAUCAGGCAAAUGUCCAGAAAAAUCCAGAUGUAUGGCAGCCCUUGUUGGCAGUGCCACAUUUGCCUUUCCCCAUAAAAAUAGCUCAAAAACGGCAUAUUUUCCGAUUUUGCCCGAAAAGCUCAACAACUUUGCCGGAUUUUCACUGUUUGAAAUAUGGCAAUCCUAGUGGUAAGGGCCAGAAAACAUAGAAAUAAACACAAGAGAUUGGCAUUGGGUUGAAAGAGGCCACAACCUUUUACAGAUUACAGAUGUAAGUAGAUUUUGGCGAAGGCACUAGGUAUGUAUCUGGUAUCAAGCAGCCCGCCUGCUGGUUGAUAAAUAUGGUGGGGUCGACCCAGAGCUCAGGAGUCACGCCUAACAUGGACCGGAUGUUAUCAGCCCCAUGUGGGCCACCAUUGAGAAAGGUGCUGGGCCCAUUGGCCCCCAUGUGGGCUCCCGAACAGAGAGACCCUUCCUGGACCUCUUUAACAGGGGGUCAGCUAAGGAUCCAAGCCAAUGCCUUAUCCACCCAAGUUGUGACUGUUGCUGGGAGGCAGAUGAAAACCUGCAGAACAGCCACUUUGUCCGCAGGAAAAAAAUCCACUCUGGCCCUGAAUACAUCCACUGAAUGAACCAUAGCAAUGGCCUCAAGUCAGCCUGCCUGCUCACCUUUGUACAGACCUCUCCCAGUCUGGGUGGGCAGGUGAUCAAUCCAGAAAUGGCCUACGAAUAGAGCUCACUCCACAACAUCACCCUCUUAAGUACUGGCAGGGGGUGGACCUGAUCCACCCUUUCCCCUGCGACCAGAUUGGCCAUUGCGAUGGGCCCCUUCCCUGUCAGCCACUGCAGUUGGAAAUGGGAGGCUCCAGACUUCCCUGCUAUGGCCGCUGUAGGGUUUACACUCCAUUUUGCGAAGGCAAACCUCACACAAAGACGUGCCACAGCAUGUCAAGGAGCGUUACGCUUGCUUUCCCUGACCUUUUGCCUUCUUGGGUAGAAGACAGGGUUUUCCCCCUGUUUGCUUAGACAUAUCGCUUGGCUGGAGCAUGGCGGGGAAAGCAGACGUUAUCAAGUAUCGGGGAGGGGGAGGACAUUUGAGGGAAGCACCUGCCGACAUGUGUAUUUGCUAAUGCUGGAAAUGUCCUUAGAUGGAAAUAUGUUAAAGAAGUUCAGAGUGGUUUCACUACUGCUUUCCAGCUGUUGAUUUUUGCCAAUAAAAGAGGCUCUGCCAAGCUAGCCGAUAGCUUGCUUCCACACAGCUCACUUGCAUUCAACCUCGUGUCAUCUCCGUUACUUCUACAGGUGCAGGAGGGUGAUGGGCUUAUGAUGAGGCUACGGUCAUACCUCUCCCCCAGAGCCUCAGGUGAGUGGGAACUGUAUUGCAACACAACAAAUAAAGCCAAGCAUGAAUAAGAGAGCAUGCAAUAAAUGUGAAUGAAGCCAUAGCUCAAAGGUUAUGUAAGUAAACUAACAUCAGGACUACAGCUCAGGACUACAGGGUCUCUCCAUCAGCUCACCAGGGAUUUCUCAGUGGGUAAAGCAUGAAACUUUUAAUCUCAGGGUUCUGGGUUUGAGCCGCUUGUUGGGCAAAAGAUUCCUGCAUUGCAAGGGGUUGGACUGCAUCAUCUAGAAUUGUAUGAUUCCACAUUGUAUGUAUGUAUUGUAUGUAUGAUUCUAGCUGGGCAGAGCCAGAUUAAAGUCUUUGUCAGCCCUAGACAGGCACUCUCAUAAUCAUUGGUCCCCAAGACAGAGCUAGUAAAUACAGUGGUACCUCGGUUCUCGGAGGUAAUCUGUUCCAGAAGACCGUUUGACUUCCGAAACAUUCGAAAACCAAGGCGCAAAGGGCUGGCUGCAAGUUCAAUUGAGAAAAUUGAAAAACACGCAGUGGAAGCUGUUCGACUUCCGAGGUGCAUUUGAAAAUGGAAGCAUUUACUUCCGGGUUUCAGCGUUCGAAAACCGAAAUGUUCGGCUUCUGAGACACUCGAAAACCAAGGUACCACUGUACUGGUAAUGGCAUUUGAGGGGCAUUCAAGUAUUUAAUUGUUAGACACAGCUAGACAUAGUACAGAUGCAUCCUGACUAAUCACUGCUCUGGCGGUAGCUGAAAGGUUUAUUCGUCUUUUGAGAUUUCAUGAAAUUUGACAUCCCAUUGAGCCACCAAGGGAAAGAAGUUGUGAUACAUCUCUGUGAUGACACUGAGCACCUCAGAGUUGCCAGCUUGCAAUUUCCAUAAUAGCUCUGUUCUAAGCUCUCUGCUUUGCCUUCCACUCCAUUGGCUAAAUGGCCUUGAGCGGCUUUGGUUUUCAGCUGUAGCUAAUGGAGGUAUCAGGCUGCUCUAACUGGAUGCUGCAAGUUUCAGACAGGGUCGAGGGGAGUCUUGAGCCUUGUGCUCCUUUGAGGCUAGAAAUAGAAACUGGUAUCUGUGCAAGUUUUACAACCUGUCCCUAAUGUAACAUCACAGCGCAGUGAAUGACUUGGUCAGGAGGCCAGGAGAAAGAAGAACCUGGAGAUUUAAAAGAAGAACUAAAAACAUCUGAGUAAACAGCACAUAGAGGGAGGAUAUUCAAACCACAUGUUGUUAAGAAGUAACCAGGGCAGAAAAGAUAUUGCAGUAAUAAUUUGCCAUAAAGUGCAUGGACCAGUUUCAAGCAGACUUAUCCUCCCUAAUGACCCCACAGAUGGCGACCUCAUUAUACUUUUAUAUUUGACCUCUGAACAUUCAUUGCCUUUAAAAGCCUCCUUCAUAUUUUAUUUUGACCCUGAAUAAUAGAACACUGCGGUCUUGAAAACAAAUAAUUUUUUUUUCAGAGUUAUGUAAUUUUGGAUCAGUGGGAGCAUGAAAGUUCAAACCUGACUUGUAACACUGUAAUGUUCAUUUUGCUGGAUGCAAAUCCUAGGUGACAUUCAGCACCAAAUGAUCAUGAAAUGGGCUGCAUAUUUUAAUAACUGUAUUUAAUUUAAUCUUUGGGGUAUUUUAACUUUUUUGUAUGUCUUAAAGUAGGGUUGUAAUUUUUUCUUGGUUUUGCUGUUUUAUCUUUUGUAGACCAUUUUGAGGUUGUUGGGGUUUGUUUUUUCAAUCAAGUGGGAUAUAAAUUGUAUUUUUUCAAGUCAUCUUGAAAGAACCAAGCUUUUGGGUAGUCAUAGAGUUUUCUCAAUGUCUCUUGCUGAACUGAAGGGACACAGUCCAAUUCUAUGCAUAACUACCGUAUUUUUUGCACCAUAACACUCACUUUUUUCCUCCUAGAAAGUAAGGGGAAAUGUCUGUGUGUGUUAUGGAGGGAAUGCCUAUGGGUGGCAUGCCUACGGGUUUUCCUCCUCUAAAAACUACGUGCAUGUUAUGGUCGGGUGCAUGUUAUAGAGCGAAAAAUACGGUACUUUGUAGGGCACUCAUAAGUAAGCCAUCAAAGGAUUGCAGUCAUUGGAUGCAUCAAGGGACAGAAGAUAAAUUUGAUGCAGUUCACAUUUAAAGGUGAAUCUAGCUAUCAGACACUUUCCAAAGCAAUCUGAGAACUGAAACGGAUGUCUGUCAAGAUGUGCAUGUCUCUCAAUUUUGCAGUACAGUUCUCCAGCCAAGUAAUGUGUACAAAAAUGCAUAUAUUAGUGUCAGAGCUGGCUCCAGGUCCCAGCUCACAGAGGACCAACGCUAGCCGGCAGUAAUGUACAAAAGUCUUUAUUGAAGUACAGUUUCCAUUUUCAAGCCGGAGCGCCCCAGCUCUACGUCUAGGGGUUAGAUCGGCGAAGCUCCAUCUGAGUCUCCGCCCCUGUACACCAGUUUAAGAUUCUAGCCUUACUCCACCUCUUACGUCUCUCCUUUCUCCUCUGGGUCCUGCUACCCCCCAGGGUCCCUUCCUUCCUGGAUUCUUCUGACGCUGACCCCCCUGACUCCUCCCCCUCUUUUCGGCGGGCUUUGGGACCUGGCUCCCUAUCCGGGCUGCCAACUGCGCCGCCCUCCUGUACAUUUGAACUUGGCGCGCGCGCCCAGCCUUCAACCUUCCUCUCGACCGUUUCCUCGCUCCCCGAUGGAGCGUGGCCAAUCCUGACUCAUGUCCUCCCACUGGCAGUGCGCCGCCUGAUCCCGAUGCCUGGGACUCCUCCCCCCUACUGCACUCUGGUGUGGACGCUGGUCCUGAUUUCCAACUGCUGCUCUCUGAGUCCCCUCUGGCCCCUUCUUCCUGGGGUGUCCCCCUCGGCACCCCCUUGCUCUGACCAAGGGAGCCCCUUUCUGUGAAUCUUCCGAUUCGCUGGAAAGACUCAGAGACCUCGGACCGCUGUCAUCGCUAACAUUUCCUUCGGACUCCUCCCCCUCGCUCUCUAUUUCCUCCCUUUCCUGUGCCUCUGCUCCUGAACCCCUGACAUCCAUCCCCCUCGAAGCCCCCCUUCCCCCUCCCCUCCUUCAGGUGUGGGUACUGGGUGCUCCGUCGUUGUGGGGGUGAGUGCCGGAUACAGUUCGUCCCCCGUGGCGUGCAUCCAGCCGGAUAAGUCCGGCUCGUCCUCCGUGCUCUCGCCGACCUCAAUUUCCUCUGCUUCCAUCUCUUUGCCGCCGUGCUCGAGCCCAAGGUCCUCCCCCAACACGUCCAUGUCCGUCUCUCCCCGGUCUCCUCCGGGGGCGUUGCCUGCCAAGGACCCCCAACCACUUCCUGCGCCACUGCUCCUCUGGUUGAGUGUCCCACCAAUAGGAACGGUCUGAGGCAGACCCGAGGGUGAUCCCUCCGGGAACGUGCUUCUAGUGCCGGUUCCUCGUCCGAGGUGAACCCCUGGAAUGUGCUAGCUGAAAAUGUGGGUGUGAAAAGCCAGUCGUCGAAAUACUCGGCUGGCAUGGGCCUGUGUGGGAAAAGUGCAUGGAACUCGUCCUUGAGCCAAGAUUCCUCCAGAGCAUAAUCUGGCACCCAACUGUUGGCGCUAGCCGAGGUACCUUCCUUGGCGAGGAGGUAUUCCACUCCCUCCUCGCCCAUCUCGAGUCUAAAAUCUCUGUGACUUCGUUGACGGGUUCCCGCCUUGGCGACCCCCCCCUUGUGGGCGUUUCCCUGAACGGGUCUGGUGCCGUUCCUGGCUCCUGAAAUCUAUGAGGUGCUUUGUAGGGCGUGAGCACUGAUCUAUGGAAAACUGGGUGCAUUCUGGAUCCCUCCGGCAGUGUCAACCGGAAAGCCACUGGAUUGACCUGUGCCUCGACUUGGUAGGGUCCUAGCUGCUUAUGCCCUAGCUUCUUCUUCGCUAACGAUCUGGCCGGCACUGCCUGGGCUGCUAACCAAACCCAGUCUCCCACCUGUAUGUCUUCCCCAACCCUCCUGUGCUUGUCAGCCUGCAGUUUGUAUGCGUGCUUUGCUAGUUCUAACUGCCUCCGAAGCUGUUCGUGAACCUCCUGCAACUCUGAUGCUAAGGCUUCCGCUGCCUGUGGCUCCCCCCCCCCGCGCUCGCUAAUCCCGGGAAGGUUCUGGGAUGCCUCCCGUUGUUGGCGAAGAACGGUGUCACCCCCGUGGACACGUGCUUCGUGUUGUUGUAGGCGAACUCAGCGAGCGGCAGGUAGUCCACCCAUGUUGCCGGCUGCUGAUUUGCGUAGCAUCGCAGGUACUGCUGCAUGAUGGCGUUGACUCGCUCCGCUUGUCCGUUCGUCUGCGGGUGUCUCGCCGACGCUAGGUUGAUCUUGACGUUCAGGAAACCCAUCAGCUUCUGCCAGAAGUUCGAGAUAAACUGUCGCCCCGGUCGGACAGGAUAGACCGUGGCAGACCGUGAACUCUGAACACGUGGUCUAUGAACAGUUUGGCGGUCUGUUCCGCCGUGGCCACCUUCGCGCACGGAAUGAAGUGGGCCAUUUUGGUGAACAUGUCCACCACCACUAGCACUGCCGUCUUGCCCCUCGAGCUGGGUAGAUCCGUGACAAAGUCCAGGGCCACCCUCUCCCACGGUUCGAGCGGUGUCUGCAGGGGUUCGAGCAGUCCCGCCGGCGGUUUGUGCACUGACUUGGCCCUUUGGCAGGUGUCGCACCUCGAGACGUAAUCCGCGACUUCCCCCCCGCAUCUUGGGCCACCAAAAAUCUCUGGCUACUAAUUCUACCGUCUUCUCUUUGCCAAAGUGCCCGGCGGUGGGUGCGUCGUGCAACUGCUGCAGUACUUUCGCGCGGAGGUCGUCUCCCGGUACGUAGAGGGCCCCUCUGCGGAUGAGCAAUCCGUCGCGUAUCUGGAACUCGUCGUCCUCCGCCGUGCCCCUUUGCACCUCUGCCAUCUUUGCUUGCGCGAAGGGGUCCUCCUGCAGUGCUCGACGUACAGCAUCCAGGUCCACGGUUGCUGAAGCGCACGCCCACGCUUUCGGUGCGAAAAUGUGCUUGGCCGCUGCUGGUGCCGCCUCCUCGAGGUAUUGCGGCUUUCUGGACAGUGCAUCCGCCAUGAUGUUGUUGUCGCCUGGGAUGUACUCUAUCCUGAAGUCGAAAUCCGCAAAGAACUCCGCCCAUCGUAUGUGCCUCUGGUUCAGGAACCUUGCCGUGCGCCAGUACUCCAGGUUUUAUGGUCCGUGCGGACCUGCACUGUGUGUUUGGCUCCAAUGAGGAAGUGCCGCCACGCCUUGAAUGCUGCAUGAAUGGCCAGCAACUCCCUGUCCCAGAUGGUGUAGUUCUGCUCUGACUUGCUGAGCUUCCUGGAGUAGAAGGCACACGGUCUCCAGUCCCCAUGCGGGUCUUGCUGCAACAGUACUGCUCCCACGGCUCUGUCUGAGGCGUCCGUUUCAACCCUCAUCGGUCUGCUGGGAUUCACAUGCAGUAGCUGCUCUUCGGACGAGAAGAGGCGGCUUGAGUUUCUGAAAGGACUGCUCCGCUUGCUCCGUCCAGAUGAACUUCUUCUUCUUGGAGCUGAGCGUGUCGGUAAUGGCCGCCGUCUGCAUCGCGAACCCCUUGAUGAACUUGCGGUAAAAGUUGGCGAAACCGACAAACCGCUGGACCUCCUUCCGAUUGCGCGGGCUCUUCCAGUCCAACACUGAGCGAACCUUGGCGCUGUCCAUGGCGAGCCCCUUGUCCGACAACUUGUAGCCCAGGAAAUCUACCUCCUUCAUGUCGAACUGGCACUUCUCCAGCUUGGCGUACAGCCUGUGCUCCUGCAGUCUCUGCAGAACUUCCUUGACGUCUCCCUCGUGGGUCUCCUCUGAUUCUGAAAAUAUCAGGAUGUCGUCCAGGAAGCAGACGCAUUUCUUGUAGAGGAGACCCGCCAAUACGUGAUGCAUGAAGGCUUGAAAACAGUGGGAGCCAUUUUGUAAUCCAAAGGGCAUAACUCUGUAUUCAUAGGUGCCCAGGGCGUGAACAUGGCAGUCUUCCAUUCGUCGCCCUCCCGUAUGCGAAUCAGGUUGUACGCCCCUCGCAGAUCCAACUUUGUGAAAACGCGUCCUUUCCUCACCGUUGCGAGCAGGUCAUCUAUCUUGGGCAUGGGAAAGGCUGUGGGCUUGGUUUUCGAGUUCAAAAUUCUAUAGUCCACCACAAGCCUUUUUUGGGGCGUGUCCUUCUUCUUCACAAAGAAUACAGGACUGCCCCCCCACUGCCUUCGACUCCCGGAUGAAACCGCGCUUCAAGUUGAGGUCUAUGAACUCCCUGAGUUCCUGCAGCUCGUCUUCAGACAUGGAAUACAGUUUCCCGGUUGGCAGCGUCGCCCCUGGCAGGAGGUCAAUCUUGCAGUCAUAAGACCUGUGGGGAGGUAGCUUGUCCGCUUCCUUCUCGCAGAAAACCUCCAAAAACGCUGCGUACUUGAGUGGCACUGCUUGCAGCGUGCCUAAUUGUAGCUGCGGAUCAUCCUCUUCCCCUUCCGGGCUAGGCAGAAUGCAAUGUUCCGCACAGUAUGAGGAGCCGAAGGUCAGUUGUCGCUGGUACCACGCCAAUGCUGGGCUGUGCCUGUGCAGCCAACUCAUGCCUAAUACUAUAGGCGUGUCCGACAGUUGGGUGACAUUGAAGCUGAUGACUUCUCGGUGAUUCCCAAUUUGCAUCACCAUCGGAGGCGUUUGCUGCACCACCUGCCCCCCCAGCAAUUCCCUGCCAUCCACCGUGACAACCUUCAGAGGCAGCGUGGCUGGCAGGAGUGCUAUGUUGUGCUCUUGAAGGAAAUCCAGUCCUAUGAAGUCUGCGUUACUACCAGAGUCAAUGGUAAUCGGCACUUCCAUAGUGAGUCCAUUGGGUAGUUGGAGCGAUGCUGUGAGCUGCACCACUGGUUUGGGCGGGAGGGGUCUGUGGGCUGCAAAAUCUCUGGGGACGGCUUCAUUGACUUGUCUGGUUGGGCCCCAGUGCCUCUUCCUCCAACCAGACUCUGUCGUUUCCCUGCUGUGGUUCUCUCUGCUGAGUUGCUUCUGUUACUGUUGCUGAGGCUGCAGUGUGCUUGUGGAGCCUCUGGGGACACUCUUUCGCCAUGUGCUGAGCACUGUCGCAGAUGUAGCACUUCCUGUUCCCUCUAGGAGGCUUCGCUUUGACUGCUCCCGGUGUUAAGGCUCUGGUUGCUGACUGAGCCCUGGCGCCUCCAAUCUCCAUCGGUUGCUCUCCCCCUCCUUGCGGAGGUGGGGAUUGCACACGCGCUGCAUCCUUGGGAAAGAGGGGAGGUGCUCUCACUGGCGUACGUCCCCAACGUCCUUCUUCUCUAUUCCAUGGACGUUCUUCCAGACGCACCCCAAUUUGCAGCGCCCGCCGGACAACCUCCUGAGUGCUCUUUGGUCUCUCCCCCCUUGCAAUCUCAUCUUUCACAUUUGCAUUCAAGCCUUCCCAAAAAGGUCUCUGGCUGGGGCAGAAUCCUUCUCCCAUCCCAGCGCAUGGACUAAUGCAAAAAGCGGGAAUGGUACUGCCUUACACUGGCUCUGCCUUGUUUGAGCCCAUGUAUGUCUUUUCUGGCGAUAUCAAUGUCUAUAUUUGAUAAAAAACACGAAUCCAUCGCUUUAAUGAAUGCAUCCGCAUUUUGGAGCGCCGGAUCCUUAUCUCUCCACAGAUUGCGCAGCCACGCUUUAGCUUCCCCAUGCAAAUGGGACAAGAUAAACCCCACCUUCUCUUGCUCAUCUCUAAAGUCUUUAUCCAGCAGUUCCAGCGCAAACAGCACGUCUGCUCGGAAGUUAGGGUACUGCUGCAAAUUCCCAUCGAAAUGAGAUACCAGGCUGCCUCCUCUUUUCCCCAGCCCAAUCCCCUCUGAUUUGGGUCCCGGUUGCCCCUGCUUAGCAAGCACUUCCAACCUGGCUUGGAGAUCCCUGCAGGCGGCAGCCGCUUCCUCUUCCCUUUUCCUGGAUGCGAGUACCUCCGCGUUGAGUUGUGUCACUGCAUUUUGCAGGGCUGCUAGUUGCUGUUCUGUAGUCAUCUUGCCUGACUUUUGUGAGCUCGCGAAGCACCAAUCUUCUUCCCUCGCUGCGUCCACUCACGUUACGAGGUUUUUGGUGCAAAACUUUUAGAGAUGGAGCUUACUGUCAGAGCUGGCUCCAGGUCCCAGCUCACAGAGGACCAACGCUAGCCGGCAGUAAUGUACAAAAGUCUUUAUUGAAGUACAGUUUCCAUUUUCAAGCCGGAGCGCCCCAGCUCUACGUCUAGGGGUUAGAUCGGCGAAGCUCCAUCUGAGUCUCCGCCCCCUGUACACCAGUUUAAGAUUCUAGCCUUACUCCACCUCUUACGUCUCUCCUUUCUCCUCUGGGUCCUGCUACCCCCCGGGGUCCCUUCCUUCCUGGAUUCUUCUGACGCUGACCCCCCCUGACUCCUCCCCCUCUUUUCGGCGGGCUUUGGGACCUGGCUCCCUAUCCGGGCUGCCAACUGCGCCGCCCUCCUGUACAUUUGAACUUGGCGCGCGCGCCCAGCCUUCAACCUUCCUCUCGACCGUUUCCUCGCUCCCCGAUGGAGGCGUGGCCAAUCCUGACUCAUGUCCUCCCACUGGCAGUGCGCCGCCUGAUCCCGAUGCCUGGGACUCCUCCCCCCUACUGCACUCUGGUGUGGACGCUGGUCCUGAUUUCCAACUGCUGCUCUCUGAGUCCCCUCUGGCCCCUUCUUCCUGGGGUGUCCCCCUCGGCACCCCCUUGCUCUGACCAAGGGAGCCCCUUUCUGUGAAUCUUCCGAUUCGCUGGAAAGACUCAGAGACCUCGGACCGCUGUCAUCGCUAACAUUUCCUUCGGACUCCUCCCCCUCGCUCUCUAUUUCCUCCCUUUCCUGUGCCUCUGCUCCUGAACCCCUGACAAUUAGGAUAUAUUGUUUGUAAAAAUGCAUACAGGUCUCAGGAUGGGUUACAACAAUUUUAAAUUAAUAAUUAUAAACAAUUAAAUCAUAUUACAGUCAGGGGACUAAUGCACAUUACAGGUGUCAAGGGCCUCGUAAAUUUCUUGCAAAAAUGUGUAUAUGAAACAUAAUUGCUUAGCAGCCUGUAUGUGAGGAGAUAUUUGCACUAAAAUGCUGGUGAAUUUUCACGAGGACUUUGAAAUAAAUAAAUUCCAAACUGAUUGGAAAUGUGGAGUGGCAAAAUGAGAAACAGAGAGGAACCAAAAUUGAAAGAUUUGCUGAUCCCUAGAUGGGUCCAAGUGAGCAUUCUUACUUCAUUUCCCUUUUGGCCCUCCUUGCCCCUGAACUGAGCUUUGUGCCACUGCAAUUUAUUCACACAUGCUCCCUCCACUUAUGAAUUUUUCAAGUCGCUAGAUAAAAUAAUGUUGAAUUUGCACAAUUGCACGUGUACCUAAAAAUGUUAGAUGCAGUGUCAAAAAGGAUUAUUCUCAAAAGGGAGGGAAGAACUUGAAAGCUGGGUGAUUGAGAAAGCAGGGCUCUAGAACGGUGAUGUAGUCAGGUGUAGAAUCAGUCAUGAGAGGUUUAGUGGGUGGAACCACAGGCGACAUGUAAGAAACGGGUGCAUAGAAGCAAUGGCAACGAUACCAUGGAGGCUCUUUUGAAAACAAAAUAAAAUUCAUGCCUCCAGCAAGAUCGAAGAAGGGAGGAUAUUGACCAGGAAGAGGGACACCAUUAGUCUGGUUUACAGAUCCAUCAUGAAGACGUUUGUAUCUCUAAUGAGGUACAAGCUUUUGCCUGAGAGAACCCAAAACUGGGACACUUAAAAAAAGAAAGAAAGAAAUGGGUGACAAAUCGUGGAAUGUAGUGCAAAGUGCUCCACUCUCUUGAGUGUUCAUUAGUAGCAGUUUCUAUGGCCAACUAUAGCUCUGGAUGAACUUCAACAAAAAUGCAACACAGCACUAUUAAAAUAAAAGGGGGGGGGGGAAUGAACCGGCUUUCUAGAACAGGGCGAAACAACUCCUUGUCAAAAGAGUGCUGCGUUGAUGAUGCCAGCUUUUGCAGGCAGAUGUCUGGCACCAAGGAAGAAGGAAAUGACAAGCAGUUUGGGGAGCCAUUUGCCAAAUGAGAGUUGAUGAGAAUUUGAAGGGGGUGGAAAGGAGGAGAGUAGGCGGUCUGGCUCAAGGCCAGCAAACAGUUAACUGUCAGCAGCUGUAAGGAUAGGACAUGGCAGGACUACAGAUGUUGUCACUGAGGGCAUCUCUGCAUAGCAGCUGCCUGCCCUUCAGAUUGACCAGUUUGGCACUCCGGGGAAACGUCCCUGGAAAAGGCAGGGAUCUUUACUUAUUUAAUAUCAUCUCCUUUGUACACAAUAUACGUUAGAUACAAUAAGAUGAGCCAUGCCUGAUCAGGCCAGUGGCUCAUCUAUUCCAGCAUCCUGCUCUCACUGGCGCCAACCAGAGGCCCAAACCCACAAGGUAAUAAAUAACCUUGUUCAACUGGUUUUGUAGCUUCAUGUCAUUCCAUGUUGAUGACUGACAGGUGGGCCCACUAACCUCUUAAGAGUUGUCCUGUUGUAUGAGGGGAUAAAAGUCUUGCUUCCCAGGCCCAAAAUGUUUCCCAGCCCUGCAGUAGAUUUUCUGGUGUGCUCCAGGUGGAAUCCGAAAACAUGUUAGUAUGUAUACUGCUAAGUGGGCUUCCAACAUAAGGUGCUGCCUAUAUGUCCGCUAUGCGGUUGCACAAUAUUGUUCAGAAAGCGAGCCGGACACUUUCUCAUCUAGGCUCAGCUUGAUGAUUUCCAAAAUGCAUAAACAGGGCUCUCCUUGCUUCUUGUGGGUGUGGCAGGUUGAAGCUCUGGGACUAGUGACGUCUGUGAAAUCAAAUCAAGCCCAUUCAAACGAUCAAUUGUUUUUCCCGCAUAACCCAAACUCAGUAUUUUCAAGCUGCUUUCUUUUUGGAUUCGACAAGGAGGUUGGCUGUUAAAUCUCAGGUUGAGUUUAUUAUACUGUCGUGAAUAGAAUCAAAGCUUCCUGUUUGCCGUUAUUGCUCUAAACUGAAACCCCAGUGUACGUUCUUAUUGCUGUUCUUUUCCCUUCCUUAGUUACUGCUUCCCCCCCUCCUUUAAUUUCUUUCUCUUCAUUUAUAACGUCUCACUUAUUUCCUCAGUGAACCUGUAUCUUUUUUUUUAUUUAAAAAACCCCAUUCUUUUCUAAACUCUGUUUCAAAAUAUGUUCUACCAAUGCUAUAUACGUACAAAUAUAUCGAUGCAUAAAAACCUCCCACAAACACACAGGUCAUUGUUUGUUUGUUUUUUGCUUAAAAGCAUGGAUGGAUUGGGGUUUCUUUUGGUGGGAGGGAUGCCACUACAUUGUCAAAAAUACAUCGUGAUUGCAAUGGUGUGCUUUUUGUGAGAGCAGCAAUGCUUUAGCAAACGUCACUGUAAAAUGUCCCUCUUAUCUUUUGAAAUAAUUGCAUGGCCAUCAGCUGGACGAUCACUUUGGGGACCGUUCCUUAGUAAUAAAAGCAUACACUCUGCAUGAAAAUGUCCCAAGUUCAAUCCCUGGCACCUAUAGUUAAAAUGAUCGAGACUCAAAACUCCUUCAUGCCGAAAUUUAUGACAGCUGCAGAACAGAUGAUACUGCGCUAGAUGAACAAAUAGUCUGGCCUAGCAUAAGGCAUAUUAUCAUAAUGCGAGUGAGGAAUGGUGAUCUUAGAGUGGCCAUGUGUCCUACUUUACAGAGGACAGUGCUCCAUUUGAAGAACUGUUGGAGGACUGCUCUUUGUUUGAAUAAAUCAUCCCUUUUCACAAGCUGCCUGGUUUAAAGAACCUUAAGGAGGUACCUUGAAGAUGCUCACCAACAAUUGUAACCUGGAUACCAGACUCAGCAGGCAGGUACACAGGUCUACAAUGGUGAGAUGUAAAAGUAAAGGACCCCUGGAUGGUUAAGUCCAGUCAAAGGUGGCUAUGGGGUUGCAGCAUUCAUCUCACUUUUCAGACCAAGGGAGCUGGCAUUUGUCCACAGACAGCUUUCUGGGUCAUGACUAAACCACUUCUGGCACAAUGGAACACAGUGACAGAAGCCAUAGCACACGGAGACACCGUUUACCUUCCCACUGCAGCAAUACCUAUUUAUCUACUUGCACUGGCCUGCUUUCGAACUGCUAGGUUGGCAGGAGCUGGGACAGAGUAACAGGAGCUCACUCCGUUGCAGGGAUUUGAACCGCCGACCUUCUGAUCGGCAAGCCCAAGAGGCUCAGUGGUUUAGACCACAGCGCCACCCGCGUCCCGUAUAGUGAGAUGUAUGGUGAGAUGUAUUGGACUCCAGGUGGUCCAGGGCCUAAACUCUUCACAGUUAAGUAGGCUGGCCAGCAAGUUUUGGCUGUCAUAAUUUACUUUUUCUAUAUCUCUUUUGUGUCUAUGUUGGCAACGGAGCGGGAAAUGGGUGCUGAGAUGGAUUUGGCUCGGGGCUUCCCAUUGCUCAUCCUUGCUGUAACAUGUUUAUUCUAGUACAUCUACUGCACCUGUCUGUGCCGCUCUUGCAUUCUUGUUUCCUGACCCCACCCCUACUUCUCAGUGAAGUUCUGUUGACUGUUCCCUUUUCAACUUGUAUUGACCGUGGGAAAUAUGAGAGCAGCAGCGAGGUUGGAGAAUUCCAAAAGAAACAGAAACAGGAGUGGAAAUUGCUGAUGUUUGCUUAUUUGUCCCAUGUCUGGAAUGGAAAUCAAUCCAGGACUUCCGGGGGAGGCGCCUCCGGUAAUGGCAGAAUUCCUCUGACCGGGAGGAAUCUGCUCCGUGGAAAUCUGGGUCUGGCCGCCACGGCGAAGGCGGAGACCCGUUAAAAUCACAGGCGGGAGAAGCCUGUGAACGUGGGAUUCGGCGGGCACCUUUUGCACCUCCCCCACUCGCGGGGAACCCUGGUUUUUGGGGCUCCGGAGCGAUGUGGGGUGAGCAGCGCAGUGCAUCGAAUCGUCUGCUUCUUCCACGGAGCGAAGCCGCAUAGCUGCUGCUGGAGAGCGCUGACCUUUUCCUGUGGACAAUUUGACUUUAAAGUAAUUACCCGUGAGUAGAGCUGAAACGGAAGAAUUGGAUUUCUAAAAGUUUAAUUUGGUAUCGUAACAGGGAGGUUCAAAACAGGAAGUCCGCCUUCCCUUUUGUAAAUAGACUGAGGCAAUGAAGUUGCAAGCUGGAGUCCUGGAAGGUCUUUUGUAAAAGAUCAAAUUUCCAACAGUUAAGAACAUUAAACCCCUCUUGGAGGCAGGAGAAGAGGGGGGAAGUUGCGGAUUGAGUAUGCCUGUGGGAGAGAGCGAAGAGAUUUAAAACACCGCCGCUCUGACCCUGGAAACGGGCUGCUAGUAGGACUGACGUCUUUUGGAAUGUUCAUUGACAGCGCUUAGAACGUUCAUUGACAGCUAGCUAAAUAAGAGAAAUACAUGGUUUCUACUGUCUUCGGCUGCUUUAAAAAGGAGUAAAAGUAACUGAAAAUUGAAACUAAUUUGAAACUAACUUUGGAUUGUUUAAAAGAGGAUACUAUUGACUAUUACAAAUAGAAACUGUUUCCCCCUAGUGGAAGCCUUUGAAACUGGUUGAUAUACAAGCGUUGGACUAGGGGAAUUUCCAGCUGCAAGUUAAAAACCGUGAGACUCUGGGACUGACCUUGAAUCUUUCAAAUGUUUUGGUAAAUGGAAGAGGAAAAACAGACCAGUCAACUGUUGAUAAAACAUUAAGGUCUGGGAGGACUUGGUAACAAUCCAGGAGAGGUCUAUUAUUAGGCCCUCCUGUUCUUAUCGUUGCUGUCUUUGUACUAGUAUAUUUGAAACUAAGAGGAAUGUCGACAGAAGAGGCUUUGGUGGCUGCAUUAUAUAAGAUAAAUGACUCAUUGGAUCAGCUUCACAGGAAAAUGGACAUGAUAAAUGUGAAAGUAGAUGUUUCAAUUGUUGAGGUUGACUUGAAUGCAGGGAGUAUGGACAAUACCAAUACAGAAACCACCCAGAAAUUGAUACAAGAACAUAUUCUGAUAUGGCAAGCUGUGGAGGAAGUCAAGGAAAAAGCUGUUGCUGUUGAAGGUACAGAAACACAACUGGAGAGAAAGAGAAAGAGAGCCCCAGCCAUACAGAGGCAAUUUGAUGAACAUAAGUUGACGCUCUCUAUGACUGAACUUAAGGAAAAACAGACAAAUUUGAGGAUUAGAGUUCACCUUUGGUGGACAUGCCCAAGGAUUAAGACACUCUGGGAGAUGAUUCAUAACGAAAUGAAAAAGGUAUUUAAAUAUACCCUUUUGAAGAAACCAGAGGCCUUUCUCCUGGGCAUGGUCAGUCAAUUGGUGUUAAAGAAGGAUAGAAUUUGUCUCAUGUAUGCAACAAUAGCAGCAAGAAUACUCAUUGUGAAGUACUGGAAGACACAAAAUUUAUCCAUUCGGGAAGAAUGGCAGAUGAAGUUGAUGGACUAUAUGGAAUUGGCGGAAACGACUGGCAGAAAUCCGAGACCAGGGAGAUGAGCUGGUGGAAGAAGACUGGGAAAAGUUUAAGACUAUUUAUAGAAAUACUGUAAAAAUAAUGAAUGUUUGAAAAAUGUUGGAAUGAAGUUAUAUGGCUUUAGUAGAAAUGCUAUAAGGAAUUAAGUAUAAAUAGAUUAAUAGUGUAUUAAAGGGAAAAUAAGGCUAGAAUAUGUUAAGAUAAUUAUAGGAUAGAAAACAGAGGAAGAUGGAAAGGAAUUGCUGAAAUAAUUAAUAGAAGUGGAAAACAGAAAGGGAGGUGUGAGGAGGUCGUGGAAAUAAGGGAAUGAAAGAUAAGACAUUGAAAUUGUUCCGUGUUUGAAAUGGUUUGUGUCAUGCUUUGUUAGUUUUAUGUUUUUCUGUUUUUUCAUUUUUUGUUCUGUUUUUUUUUGGGUCUUUCUGUUUUGUUGUGUUUAAAUGGUUGAAAAUUAAUAAAUAUUAUUUUUUUAAAAAAGGAAUGGAAAUCAAUCCAGAGAAUGUGAUCAGUAUUCCCUGCUGUUGCUGCUUUCACUCUGCAAACAUGACAUAACUGAUGGUGUCCCCACCCCAAUUUGUGUUGUCUUUCCUUUGCAUUGAAAUGAAUAGGAUGGAGUAACAUAAUAACAACAUAAUGUAUGUAACUUAUGUCAUUAAUUGCAUAGGUUUUGCAUUUUUUGCCACAGCAACAUGAACAGAGAUCUAUGGAUGGAGGGCAGUAUACAAAUUUAAUUAAACAACAACAACAACAUAACUUUUAGUAGGAGGCAAACUGCGGAGGAAUGGAGAAAGUGUUGCAUGCAACAAAUACAGGAUAGAAUGGAAAAUGAUGCCUUUUUAUCUCCCUAGGGAAUGCUGCCUCCAUCUAGAUCAGGGUAGUCCAACAUGUGGCCCACAAGGCCAUUUUUUGUGGCCCGCCAGCUCCCCACCCUCUACCUCACCCAGGACAGCUCAGCCAAGCUGGCAGAGACAGCGGCGAGUGUGUGUGCCACAGCCAAAGGCAGGCAGGCUGUUGCUGCUCCUCCUCCUCAGCUGCUGCAGGAGCUCUGGGUUGCCACCAGGCUGCGCUCUUGGGCCUGCUUGGAGCAUGGCUGCAUGCCCAGGCUGCUGGGGCUCAGGAAGUGGGCGGUGCAGAGAAGAAGUGUGGUGUGUGUAUGUUUGUGUUUCAGUACAGAAGACUUUGUUGUAUGGGAUCAAUUCCAAUCUGUUACCCCCAAGGAUGUGGGCAGGCUGCUUGGAUGAGUGAAACCAACUACUUGUCUCCUUGAUCCUUGCCCAUCCCGGCUUAUAAAAGCUAGCCGGGAAGGACUGGGCGAUGGGCUUCGUGGGGGUGGUGAAUGCUUCCCUCCAUGAGGGAGCCUUCCCAGACCCGCUGAAAGAGGCAGUUAUUAAACCGCUUCUUAAAAAAACCAUCUUUAGAUGCGGCCACGAUGGCCAACUAUCACCCAGUGUCAAAUUUACCAUUCUUGGGCAAGGUGAUUGAGUGAGUGGUUGCUGAACAACUCCAGGCACGCCUGGAAGAAGCGGACCAUUUGGAUCCCUUCCAGUCGGGAUUCAGGCCUCAUCACGGGACUGAAACUGCCUUGGUCGCACUGGUUGAUGAUCUCCGGCGGGCUAGGGACAAAGGUGAGAGCUGUUUCCUAGUUCUGCUGGAUCUCUCAGCGGCGUUUGAUACCAUCGACCAUAACAUCCUUCUGGACCGUCUUGAGGGGCUGGGAGCUGGGGGCACUGUUAUACAGUUGUUCCGCUCCUUUCUCCUGGGCCGUGUUCAGAAAGCGGUGGUGGGGGAUGAGUGUUCAGACCCCUGGGCUCUCACUUGUGGGGUGCCUCAGGGUUCUGUCCUCUCGCCCAUGCUUUUCAACAUUUACAUGCAGCCACUGGGAGAGAUCAUCAGGAGGUUUGCGCUGGGUGUUCAUCAGUAUGCGGAUGAUACCCAGCUCUACCUCUCUUUUAAAUCAGAACCACUGAAGGCGGUGAAGGUCCUGUGUGAGUGUCUGGAGGCGGUUGGAGGAUGGAUGGCGGCUAACAGAUUGAGGUUGAAUCCUGACAAGACAGAAGUACUGUUUUGGGGGACAGGAGGCGGGCAGGUGUGGAGGAUUCCCUGGUCCUGAAUGGGGUAACUGUGCCCCUGAAGGACCAGGUGCGCAGCCUGGGAGUCAUUUUGGACUCGCAGCUGUCCAUGGAGGCACAGGUCAAAUCUGUGUCCAGGGCAGCUGUUUACCAGCUCCAUCUGGUACGCAGGCUGAGACCCUACCUGCCUGCAGACUGCCUCGCCAGAGUGGUGCAUGCUCUGGUUAUCUCCCGCUUAGACUACUGCAAUGCGCUCUACGUGGGGCUACCUUUGAAGGUGACCCGAAAACUACAAUUAAUUCAGAAUGCGGCAGCUAGACUAGUGACUGGGAGUGGCCGCCGAGACCACAUAACACCGGUCUUAAAAGACCUACAUUGGCUCCCAGUACGUUUCCGAGCACAAUUCAAAGUAUUGGUGUUGACCUUUAAAGCCCUAAACGGCCUCGGCCCAGUAUACCUGAAGGAGCGUCUCCACCCCCAUUGUUCUGCCCGUACACUGAGGUCCAGCGCCGAGGGCCUUCUGGCGGUUCCCUCAUUGCGAGAAGCAAAGCUACAGGGAACCAGGCAGAGGGCCUUCUCGGUAGUGGCGCCUGCCCUGUGGAACGCCCUCCCUUCAGAUGUCAAAGCGAUCAACAAUUACCUGACAUUCAGAAGACAUCUUAAGGCAGCCCUGUUCAGGGAAGUUUUUGAUGUGUGAUUUUAGUGUAUUUUUGGUUUCUAUGGAAGCCGCCCAGAGUGGCUGGGGAAACCCAGCCACAUGGGUGGGGUACAAAUAAUAAAUUAUUAUUAUUAUUAUUAUUAUUAUUAUUAUUAUUAUUUCUUUUUUGCAGUGCAGAGAAGUUUGAGCUUUGGGAUGCACCAAUUGAUGGGGGAGAGAAAGGGGUUUUGGUGCAGAGAAGAAGCAUAGGGUGUGUGGGUGGGUGUCUGUGAACAAGCAUUUUCAAACAUGAACUUCAUAAAGUCCAGAAUUCGAAACAACUUAGCAGACAAUUCACUCAAGAGUUGCCUGCAGAUGUCAACAACCAACCUCAAGGCGGACAUCAGUCAACUUGUCAAGAAUCCUCUCCUAUCUCAGACAUCCCAUUGAUAUGUGCCUUGUUAACAAAAGUGC
rnacentral:lncRNA from 1 species